AUGAGUGAAUCGUGUUUAAACGGCAUGACUCAUCAUUUCACUCUCUUUUCUUGCCAUCAAGGAAACACGAUCAUUAGCUCUAUCAGCAAAUGCACUGCUGAGAUAGAUCACCACUCCGGCAACAAAAAUAGCUACUCCACGCAUCCCAGCAAGUUGGAGGGGACACAAAGGCAACAUGGGAGAAAGGCAGGGGCGCCACCAUUGUCUACGAAAGCGCCACAGAUCCGGUGGAAAACCUCCUCUUCGGCUGUUCCCCGUGCCGCAUUCGCGCCCCAAAACCACGGCCAUUCCUCUCCCACGGGCCCCCUCCCGUCCUCACUUCCGGCAAAGCCUUGCGUUGCGUUGCUCUCCCGUCUUCCCCUCCUCGCUAAUCUACCAGGACCUGUGCUAGCAAGGCGGUCAGCCGUCCAAACUCUGUUCUGGGUGAUCAACCAUGCAAAGAAAGAAAUAGAGGCAUCUCAAGUUUUGAUGAAUGCUGCUUACUGGCUGAAUAUUUCCCAAGAGACAUAG
rnacentral:rRNA from 1 species